rnacentral:rRNA from 1 species
AGUGAACGCUGGCGGUAGGCCUAACACAUGCAAGUCGAACGGCAGCACAGUAAGAGCUUGCUCUUACGGGUGGCGAGUGGCGGACGGGUGAGGAAUACAUCGGAAUCUACUUUUUCGUGGGGGAUAACGUAGGGAAACUUACGCUAAUACCGCAUACGACCUACGGGUGAAAGCAGGGGAUCUUCGGACCUUGCGCGAUUGAAUGAGCCGAUGUCGGAUUAGCUAGUUGGCGGGGUAAAGGCCCACCAAGGCCACGAUCCGUAGCUGGUCUGAGAGGAUGAUCAUCCACACUGGAACUGAGACACGGUCCAGACUCCUACGGGAGGCAGCAGUGUGGAAUAUUAGACAAUGGGCGCAAGCCUGAUCCAGCCAUACCGCGUGGGUGAAGAAGGCUUUCGGGUUGUAAAGCCCCUUUGUUGGGAAAGAAAAGCAGCAGGUUAAUACCCCGCUGUUCUGACGGUACCCAAAGAAUAAGCACCGGCUAACUUCGUG